GGAAUAUUGGACAAUGGGCGCAAGCCUGAUCCAGCCAUGCCGCGUGGGUGAAGAAGGCCUUAGGGUUGUAAAGCUCUUUCACCCGCGAAGAUGAUGACGGUAGCGGGCGAAGAAGCCCCGGCUCACGCCGUGCCAGCAGCCGCGGUAAUACGGAGGGGGCUAGCGUUGUUCGGAAUUACUGGGCGUAAAGCGCGCGUAGGCGGGCUGUUAAGUCGGGGGUGAAAGCCCGGGGCUCAACCCCGGAACUGCCUUCGAUACUGGCAGCCUGGAGUCCGAGAGAGGUGAGUGGAAUUCCGAGUGUAGAGGUGAAAUUCGUAGAUAUUCGGAGGAACACCAGUGGCGAAGGCGGCUCACUGGCUCGGUACUGACGCUGAGGUGCGAAAGCGUGGGGAGCAAAC
rnacentral:rRNA from 1 species